CUGGCAGUAAACGGUGCACGUUUGGUGUGGGAGGAUUCGACCCCUUCCGUGCCGGAGCUAACGCGUUAAGCGUGCCGCCUGGGAAGUACGGUCGCAAGAUUAAAACUCAAAGAAAUUGACGGGGACCCGCACAAGCGGUGGAGUAUGUGGCUUAAUUCGAUGCAACGCGAAGAACCUUACCUGGUCUUGACAUGCAUCCUGUCGUUAGUGAAAGCUAGCUAGUGUAGCAAUACACGGUUUGCACAGGUGC
rnacentral:rRNA from 1 species